rnacentral:rRNA from 1 species
UGGGGAAUAUUGGACAAUGGGCGAAAGCCUGAUCCAGCCAUGCCGCGUGUGUGAAGAAGGCCUUUUGGUUGUAAAGCACUUUAAGCGAGGAGGAGGCUCUUCUAGUUAAUACCUAGGAUGAGUGGACGUUACUCGCAGAAUAAGCACCGGCUAACUCUGUGCCAGCAGCCGCGGUAAUACAGAGGGUGCGAGCGUUAAUCGGAUUUACUGGGCGUAAAGCGUGCGUAGGCGGCUGAUUAAGUCGGAUGUGAAAUCCCUGAGCUUAACUUAGGAAUUGCAUUCGAUACUGGUCAGCUAGAGUAUGGGAGAGGAUGGUAGAAUUCCAGGUGUAGCGGUGAAAUGCGUAGAGAUCUGGAGGAAUACCGAUGGCGAAGGCAGCCAUCUGGCCUAACACUGACGCUGAGGUACGAAAGCAUGGGGAGCAAACAGG